rnacentral:rRNA from 1 species
GACGUAGGGCGCGAGCGUUGUCCGGAUUUACUGGGCGUAAAGGGCGCGUAGGCGGCCACCGCAAGUCGACUGUGAAAUCUCCGGGCUUAACCCGGAAAGGUCAGCCGAUACUGCGGGGCUAGAGUGCAGAAGGGGCAACUGGAAUUCUCGGUGUAGCGGUGAAAUGCGUAGAUAUCGAGAGGAACACCUGCGGCGAAGGCGGGUUGCUGGGCUGACACUGACGCUGAGCGCGAAAGCUAGGGGAGCGAACGGG